rnacentral:rRNA from 1 species
UACGCAGGGUGCAAGCGUUAAUCGGAAUUACUGGGCGUAAAGCGUGCGCAGGCGGUUAUGCAAGACCGAUGUGAAAUCCCCGGGCUCAACCUGGGAAUUGCAUUUGUGACUGCACGGCUAGAGUGUGUCAGAGGGGGGUAGAAUUCCACGUGUAGCAGUGAAAUGCGUAGAGAUGUGGAGGAAUACCGAUGGCGAAGGCAGCCCCCUGGGAUAACACUGACGCUCAUGCACGAAAGCGUGGGGAGCAAACAGG